AUUGAACGCUGGCGGCAGGCCUAACACAUGCAAGUCGAGCGGAUGAAGGGAGCUUGCUCCUGGAUUCAGCGGCGGACGGGUGAGUAAUGCCUAGGAAUCUGCCUGGUAGUGGGGGAUAACGUCCGGAAACGGGCGCUAAUACCGCAUACGUCCUGAGGGAGAAAGUGGGGGAUCUUCGGACCUCACGCUAUCAGAUGAGCCUAGGUCGGAUUAGCUAGUUGGUGGGGUAAAGGCCUACCAAGGCGACGAUCCGUAACUGGUCUGAGAGGAUGAUCAGUCACACUGGAACUGAGACACGGUCCAGACUCCUACGGGAGGCAGCAGUGGGGAAUAUUGGACAAAGGGCGAAAGCCUGACCCAGCCAUGCCGCGUGUGUGAAGAAGGUCUUCGGAUUGUAAAGCACUUUAAGUUGGGAGGAAGGGCAGUAAGUUAAUACCUUGCUGUUUUGACGUUACCAACAGAAUAAGCACCGGCUAACUUCGUG
rnacentral:rRNA from 1 species